GUGGGGAAUUUUGCGCAAUGGGCGAAAGCCUGACGCAGCGACGCCGCGUGGAGGAUGAAGACCCUUGGGUCGUAAACUCCUGUCAGCUGGGAAGAAGGCCGUGAGGUAAACAGCCUCGCGGCGUGACUGUACCAGCAGAGGAAGCCCCGGCUAACUCCGUGCCAGCAGCCGCGGUAAUACGGGGGGGGCUAGCGUUGUUCGGAAUCAUUGGGCGUAAAGGGCGUGUAGGCGGCCGAUCAAGUCGGGUGUGAAAUCCCUCGGCUCAACCGAGGAACUGCACCCGAUACUGCUCGGCUAGAGUCCGGGAGGGGAUGGCGGAAUUCCCAGUGUAGCGGUGAAAUGCGUAGAUAUUGGGAAGAACACCGGUGGCGAAGGCGGCCAUCUGGACCGGAACUGACGCUGAGGCGCGAAAGCCAGGGGAGCGAAUGGGAUUAGAAACCCUAGUAGUCC
rnacentral:rRNA from 1 species